GUGCCGUUCUUAUCCCGUUCUCUCUCUAAACUCUGUGUCUUCUCUCCGUACUAAUCCCAACACUCAGAGCGAUCGACGGGGGCAAAUAAAUGGAAGGUCCGACAGGGUCGCUUCCAGUCGCCGACAACCAACACAUGCCCUACCAGGAUGUUGGCCAGCUGCCAAUCUUCAAGUCGCCAAACGCUGCGCCAAACAGAGGGGAGAGUAGCUCGCACGUACAAGACGGAGUCUCAAACUGCAACAGAGUGUGGCUAUCAUACGCCACCAGGAAGCCACCUGCCGACUCAAAACCUGGAUUUUCCAGGACCUAAGACUUCAAGAGAUCAUCGACUGAUCGUCGGCUCUCCUCUAAAAAUGGUUUUGUUCUACACGCACCACUGUUUUUUUGUAUUUUGUCCUUCUGUUUUUGUGUUAUUUUCUGGUUUUGUUAUAUUAUCCUUGUUUAAACCGAGUGGGGUGAUGAGUUUUUUUUAUCGGACACGACAUAGGGCUAGUGCUAGUCGAGUAUGGUAGACGAUGUUAUGGCCGAUGGACGUACGGUUGACCUCUACAGUGGAGGUUGUUGUGGUCCGUAUGCAAGCUGGGUACUCGUGUUGUUCCUGGGCUCCGGAUGCCGAUGCCUGCGAUGGGUGUGCUGUCGGGCUCAUGCCGGUGUUUGGUUUUCUUGUGUUUCUAUUGUUUUGUUAUUUUGUUUUGUAGUGUAGUUUUUAUGUAGUUUUAUUAGUAAUAUUUUAGGAAUAAGCUUUUGGACUUAGUGUCCAAAACAGUAUUGUCACAUACUCCACCUCCGUAUGAGGAUGGAGAGGCUGGUCAUUCUGUUUAUACAGAGUGCUCUCUCUCUUCGAAAAGGUUUAGAAGUUAAGACAAUUUCCGCCACUUUGUAUACGUGAAUACUUCAAAGCAGAUGCGUAGGUUGGCUUAUAGUCUAGAUUUUUCUAUAUUGAUAA